GAGUGCUACUGAUGCCGGGACAUUUCUGCCCAAGGCAGUGUCAUCCGUCAGAUCGGGAGGCUGGUGAACAUCUGCUGCUUCUUCAGGGCAGGUGGCAACAGCAUCGGGGGAGGACGGCUCCACUGGUCCCCUUGCAGGUGACCCAGUAGCAGCUGCUCCUCCCGCUCGGCUGUUCCAGGGAGCAAAGGAAUCUGUUUGUCUGCGAAAAAGAAUGUGGCAGAGGCAGAAAGCGGCCUCGGGCAGCCCAGGCAGCCUCAACAGCUACAGAGCCGGCCAAGACCAGCCAGACACCCAGGAGAGUCACCCAGAGGCCUAGAGGCCAAGGUCACAGACUCAGACACACCCUUCCCCCUCCCCUCCCCAGGCAGCCCUGCUCUUCCAGGUGCCAGGCUGGCGGCCUCAAUGCACGGAACAGGGACCCACCCUCCCGAGGAUGCAUGUGGCGCAGUGCCUAGCACACUGGAGGACCUGGGAAAGGUGGUCUUGAGCUGGUUUCUAAGAACUGACUGUCAAGUAAUUACCACCUAAGGUCUCGCUGACAUAUUUCAGCCCUCCUUACUGUUCUCGUCAGUUUUGCGAAGAGACCAUCCUCUCCUCCCUUCUGGCUCAGCGGUCAUAAACUUGGUUCUUUAGCGUGGACUCCGGUUCCCUUCCCUCCGGCCCAGGCCAGGCAGUGAAGUCUGAUGGGCCGAUGGAACAUCACGUGACGAGAGGAAAUACAUACAAGAAGUGUGUCCACCAUUUCUUAUUGCCCUGUUAGCCUUGGGGUUCAUGAUGCCCCAUGAGCACAGAAUUCUGGUGAACCCACAAGGCAUGGGAGUUCAGUGAGACUCAAGGCAAAUGCAAAAACCGGAGGUUUCCACUUCCUGCCUCUUAGAGCCCUGAGCCACCGGGAAAGAAGUCCAGGCUACUCUGCUAGAGAGAGACGUCAUGUGCAAGAGUACUGGGGCACCAGACACGUGAGUGCAGAAGCCACCUUGAAGGUCCAGUGCAGUCGAGCCUUCAGAUGACUCC